rnacentral:rRNA from 1 species
AUUGAACGCUGGCGGCAUGCUUUACACAUGCAAGUCGAACGGAGGUUGGGAGCUUGCUCCUGACUUUAGUGGCGAACGGGUGAGUAAUACAUCGGAACGUACCGCGGAGUGGGGGAUAACGAGUCGAAAGAUUCGCUAAUACCGCAUAUUCUCUGAGGAGGAAAGCAGGGGAUCGAAAGACCUUGUGCUCUGCGAGCGGCCGAUGGCUGAUUAGCUAGUUGGUGAGGUAAAGGCUCCCCAAGGCGACGAUCAGUAGCGGGUCUUAGAGGACGAUCCGCCACACUGGGACUGAGACACGGCCAGACUCCUACGGGAGGCAGCAGUGGGGAAUCUUGGACAAUGGGCGCAAGCCUGAUCCAGCAAUGCCGCGUGCGUGAAGAAGGCCUUCGGGUUGUAAAGCGCUUUUGUCUGGGAGCAAAUCCUUGUGGCUAAUACCCACCGGGGAUGAGAGUACCAGAAGAAUAAGGACCGGCUAACUACGUGCCAGCAGCCGCGGUAAUAC